rnacentral:rRNA from 1 species
AGUGAACGCUGGCGGUAGGCCUAACACAUGCAAGUCGAACGGCAGCACAGUAAGAGCUUGCUCUUACGGGUGGCGAGUGGCGGACGGGUGAGGAAUACAUCGGAAUCUACUUUUUCGUGGGGGAUAACGUAGGGAAACUUACGCUAAUACCGCAUACGACCUACGGGUGAAAGCAGGGGAUCUUCGGACCUUGCGCGAUUGAAUGAGCCGAUGUCGGAUUAGCUAGUUGGCGGGGUAAAGGCCCACCAAGGCGACGAUCCGUAGCUGGUCUGAUAGGAUGAUCAGCCACACUGGAACUGAGACACGGUCCAGACUCCUACGGGAGGCAGCAGUGGGGAAUAUUGGACAAUGGGCGCAAGCCUGAUCCAGCCAUACCGCGUGGGUGAAGAAGGCCUUCGGGUUGUAAAGCCCUUUUGUUGGGAAAGAAAAGCAGCAGGUUAAUACCCCGCUGUUCUGACGGUACCCAAAGAAUAAGCACCGGCUAACUUCGU